rnacentral:rRNA from 1 species
CUAACACAUGCAAGUCGAACGCAGUAGCAAUACUGAGUGGCAGACGGGUGAGUAACAUGUGGGAAUCUGCCUUGAGGUUCAGGACAACAUUGGGAAACCGAUGCUAAUACUGGAUAAGCCCUUACGGGGAAAGUUUUAAUGCCAUAAGAUGAGCCCGCAUUUGAUUAGCUAGUUGGUAAGGUAAAAGCUUACCAAGGCGACAAUCAAUAGCUGAUUUGAGAGGAUGAUCAGCCACACUGGGACUGAGAUACGGCCCAAACUCC